rnacentral:lncRNA from 1 species
AAAACAAUAAACACAACAAAUGUUCAUAUCAUCAACCCAAAUUCAGUUUCAACGUAAGUUUAUCGGUGCAACAAUACAUCAAUUUGAUACUAUACUCCAUUUCCUACGACGUAAUCUAUUACAUAAUGGAUGAUAAUAAAAACAACAAAUAGUAAUAGAUGAGAAACUACAACAAAACAAUACGAUUGAGCCUAAUCUUUUCAAAAAUAAUACUCCUCAAAACCCCAUUGGACAUUCAUCUACCACCUGCAAACUACAACAAAAUAAUACGAUAAUUGAGAUAUCAGAACAAUGAGAUUAAAUCUAAUGUUUACAUAAAAAAUCAUCAAAUCCCCGAUCGAACGUUCAUCUAGCACCUAUAUUAAGCAGAAUAAGCUGAAAAAACAACAGUAGUACAAACCAAAAACUACAAUAAAAGAGAUAUUAUAAUGAUAUGAUUAGACCAAACUUUUACACAAAAAAAUUCUCAGAGUCCAACCGAACAUUCAUCUACAAUAUAAACUUGAACAGAACAUAAAUAACAAUAAAACAAUAUAAAACUAUAAUAAUCGAGUUAUUAGAACAAUAUAAUUAGAUCUAACCUUUAUGAAAAAAAUUCUCAAAUUAAAGCCCGAUCGAAAUUUUAUGUAAAAGAUAUAAAUUUUAUUAUGAAUAAACAAACUAAUCUUUUAUGUAAUAGAUUGAGUUACAUAUUAAACCCAUAUCAUACAGAUGAACACUAAAAUUGGCCUUGAAAGAUUUCCAUGAUAAUUAAAAUAAAUAUUGAAUUGCAUCGUCAAUUUUCUCACAAAACGUAUAUAGACACAACUUAUUAAAGUGAUUUUUCUUUCCUAUUAACCUAAACAGAACAAAGGGAUGGAUCACAUGGCUAAACAUAGGACAUUAAUAGCAAGUCACAUUCUAUUACCAAGAGGAAGGCAAACUGCGGCAAAGCAAAAUCCAACAUCACAUUAGCAUUAAUUUAUUGAACGGCAAAUAAUCCUAAUUUAAAACGAAAAUCUAGAGGACAUACUUAUUUUAUAAAUUAAUUGAAAACUCAUAAUCUAUCAUAUUUCUAAAUCAAAAAAUAUACAUAUCAUGCUAUAAAUUAUUAAGUAUAGAAUAAGAAUUUACUUAAGAAUAAAAUUUCAAGGACAAAAAACUCAAAUCAUAUGUUAUAUGUCGAUAAUUUCAUAAGAUAAUUUUAAAUAUUAUGGUUGUGUAUAAUAGGCCUUUGUAAUUGGACCUUUCCCCAUACGAUUCUCAAAUUGAGACCCUAAUCGUAUUUAUCUAAUUAGUAUCUGCAAUAGGUGAUUGAAGAAAAAUUAACAUAUGUAAAUUUCAUAACACAAUUAAAGUACAAAAAUUUAUACAGAAUAUAUAUAGACAUCACCAACCAAAAGUAAAUAUAUUAAAAUAAAAUAAUCUAACAACCAAAAAGAGAAAAUUUACUAUAAUGCUAUCUUCAAGUAUUCUCAAAGGCUUGAGUAGCUUUGGGAUUUAUCUGCAUGAACAUCUGAAAUACACAAUUAAACGAACAAACAAAAUAUUACAAAAGUCUAUGGUCUCAUGUUUCUAACAUUCUUGAAGUAUAUACGUACCGAAAUUGCAGAUCGAAGAUUUCAUCCACUGAUACCUUAUGAUUCUCGAAUUGAAAUUUUAAUUGCAUUUAUUCAAUUAGUUUCUACAACAAAUGAUUGAAAGAAAAUACCACUUUGUGGCCUACAAAUUCUCAUAUAUAAAUCCAAUACUACAAUCAAAGUACAAAAUUUUAUUCAAAAUACGUACAUCAAGAACCAAAUUAAAAGUAAAAUAUAUCACAAUAAUAUAAUUCAAUAACAUAGUCUAAAGCCAUUAAUGUAGCGUAAGUUGUCUAGUAGAACGUAACAUCACCUUUUAAGUUUGAAGAGGUCUCAAUGACAUUGAAGUUGUCAAAAAAAGGUUACCUAAGUUCUUUCUUCUAAAAUUCUAGGCAAAAGUCACAUAUAAAGAAAUAUUUCUAAUUGGAUUUCUACCCCUAAUAGGAUUUCCAUCCCAAAGUGUAGUAGGACACACUAAAAAUGAAAAAUCUCACACGAAUCCUACAGGGAAUCUGUACUUAAAAUAUAAAGGAAAAUAAAAUUACAUUAAUAUGGAAAGAAAAUCAAAUUACAUUAACAUAAUGAAAUUAAUUGAUAAUGUGAGAAAAAAAGUAAAAAUAAUUUUGUUUAAAACAAAGACUUUUAAUAAAGGGCAAAAAGUUUGAAUCGCUUUCUAAGGAAUCCUAUACUUAAAAU